UACAGAGGUCCCGAGCGUUGUUCGGAUUCAUUGGGCGUAAAGGGUGCGUAGGUGGCGCUGUAAGUGGCGUGUGAAAUCCCGGGGCUUAACUCCGGAACUGCAUUCCAUACUGCGGUGCUUGAGGACUGGAGAGGAGACUGGAAUUUACGGUGUAGCAGUGAAAUGCGUAGAGAUCGUAAGGAAGACCAGUGGCGAAAGCGGGUCUCUGGACAGUUCCUGACACUGAGGCACGAAGGCCAGGGGAGCAAACAGG
rnacentral:rRNA from 1 species